CUGUCAGCUGCACAGAUGCUAAAAACUGGAACGAUACAGAGAAGAUCAGCAUGGUCCCUGUGCAAGGAUGGCAUGCAAAUCUGGGAACUGCUUUAUAGUGGG